CCUACGGGUGGCAGCAGUGAGGAAUAUUGGUCAAUGGACGAGAGUCUGAACCAGCCAAGUAGCGUGAAGGAUGACUGCCCUAUGGGUUGUAAACUUCUUUUAUAUGGGAAUAAAAUAUGAUACGCAUACGCUUUUGUAUGUACCAUAUGAAUAAGGAUCGGCUAACUCCGUGCCAGCAGCCGCGGUAAUACGGAGGAUCCGAGCGUUAUCCGGAUUUAUUGGGUUUAAAGGGAGCGUAGGUGGAUUGUUAAGUCAGUUGUGAACGUUUGCGGCUCAACCGUAAAAUUGCAGUUGAAACUGGCAGUCUUGAGUACAGUAGAGGUGGGCGGAAUUCGUGGUGUAGCGGUGAAAUGCUUAGAGAUCACGAAGAACUCCGAUUGCGAAGGCAGCUCACUGGACUGCAACUGACACUGAGGCUCGAAAGUGUGGGUAUCAAACAGGAUUAGAUACCCGUGUAGUC
rnacentral:rRNA from 1 species